rnacentral:rRNA from 1 species
UUGAAAGGGAAACGAUUGAAGUCAGUCGUGCCGGCGCGAAAUCAACCUUCUCGUCUCGAGAUCACAUGGCGUGGCGAGCCUCAAAACCGUCACGAAGCGUGAACUCUUGGAGAAGUGGAGCACUUUCGUGUCCGCUGGUUAACAUCAAUUUCGAACGUCAUAAAAAGGCUGGAGGGAUGUGGCUCCUUCGGGAGUGUUAUAACCUUUAGCGGAAUGUGGUGGUCGGGAUUGAGGAUCGCAACGAAUCCCUUUAGGGCUGUUCCACCUGGCUUCUCAUUGGUAUCCGGGUGACGACAGCUCGCUGGCGUUGUUAGGAUUCCCCUAGCAAGGUUAGAACGGACACAUUCGUUAAGGAUGUUGACGUA